UACGGAGGGGGGCGAGCGUUAUUCGGAAUUAUUGGGCGUAAAGAGCGCGCAGGCGGCUUGGCAAGUCGGGUGUGAAAUCCCGGGGCUCAACCCCCGGGACUGCAUUCGAUACUGUCAGGCUAGAGGUAGGUAGGGGAGAUCGGAAUUCCUGGUGUAGCGGUGAAAUGCGCAGAUAUCAGGAGGAACACCGGUGGCGAAGGCGGAUCUCUGGGACGGUAUUGACGCUGAGACGCGAAAGCGUGGGGAGCAAACAGG
rnacentral:rRNA from 1 species